AGGAGAGUAGCCAAGUUGGUCAAGGCACCGGGUUUUGAUCCCGGCAUGCGAGGGUUCGAGUCCUUCCUCUCCUGCCA
rnacentral:tRNA from 3 species